rnacentral:rRNA from 1 species
UACGUAGGUGGCAAGCGUUAUCCGGAAUUACUGGGCGUAAAGCGCACGCAGGCGGUCUUUUAAGUUUGACGUGAAAGCUCUCGGCUUAACUGGGAGAGGUCGUUGAAGACUGGAAGGCUUGAGGCAAUGAGAGGGGUGUAGAAUUCCCGGUGUAGUGGUGGAAUGCGUAGAUAUCGGGGGGAAUACCAGUGGCGAAGGCAGAUCUCUGGGCCGUAACUGACGCUGAGACACGAAAGCGUGGGUAGCAAACAGG